rnacentral:rRNA from 1 species
GAUGAACGCUAGCGGCAGGCUUAAUACAUGCAAGUCGUGGGGCAGCGCAGUGUAGCAACACAUGGGCGGCGACCGGCAAACGGGUGCGUAACACGUACGCAACCUUCCCGUUACUGGGGAAUAGCCCAGGGAAACUUGGAUUAAUACCCCAUAUUAUAUUGAUUGGGCAUCUAAUUAAUAUCAAAGCUUCGGCGGUAACGGAUGGGCGUGCGGUUGAUUAGGUAGUUGGCGGGGUAACGGCCCACCAAGCCUACGAUCAAUAGCUGAUGUGAGAGCAUGAUCAGCCACACGGGCACUGGGACACGGGCCCGACUCCUACGGGAGGCAGCAGUAAGGAAUAUUGGGCAAUGGACGAAAGUCUGACCCAGCCAUGCCGCGUGGAGGAUGAAGGUCCUCUGGAUUGUAAACUUCUUUUUUCUGGGGCGAAAACCGGUUUUUCUAAACCAUUUGACAGUACCAGAAGAAUAAGCACCGGCUAACUCCGUGCCAGCCGCCGCAGUAACAC